CAUGAUGUACUCUGCAUAUAAGGGUGACAGGAUGCUAAUAUACAGCCUUGAUGUAAUCCUUUCCCAAUGUGGAACCAAUCCAUUGCUCUAUGUCUGGUUUAAACUGUUGCUUCUUGACCUGUAUACAGAUUUCUUAGGAAGUAGGUCAGGUUGUCUGGUAUUCCCAUCUCUUGAAGAACUCUCCACACUUUGUUGUGAUCCACACAGUCAAAGACUUUGGUGUAGUCAAUAAAGCAAAAGUAGAUGUUUUUCUGGAACUCUCUUGCUUUCUUGAUGAUCUAGAGGAUGUUGGUAGUUUGAUCUCCUGUUCCCUGCCUCUUCUAAAUCCAACUUGAACAUCUGGAAGUUCAUGGUUCACAUAAUGUUGAAGCCUGUCUUGGAGAAUUUUGAGCAUUACUCUUUGCUAGUGUGUGAGAUGAAUGCA